UUGUCUCAAAGAUUAAGCCAUGCAUGUCUCAGUACAAGCCGAAUUAAGGUGAAACCGCGAAAGGCUCAUUAAAUCAGUUAUGGUUCCUUAGAUCGUACCCACAUUUACUUGGAUAACUGUGGUAAUUCUAGAGCUAAUACAUGCAAAUAGAGUCACGACCGGAGACGGAAGUGGCGCUUUUAUUAGAUCAAAACCAAUCGGCGGCGGAUGUUCACGCGUUCGUCGUCGUACAUUCUGGUGAAUCUGAAUAACUUUUUGCUGAUCGCACGGUCUCGUACCGGCGACGCAUCUUUCAAAUGUCUGCCUUAUCAACUGUCGAUGGUAGGUUCUGUGCCUACCAUGGUCGUAACGGGUAACGGGGAAUCAGGGUUCGAUUCCGGAGAGGGAGCCUGAGAAACGGCUACCACAUCCAAGGAAGGCAGCAGGCGCGCAAAUUACCCACUCCCGGCACGGGGAGGUAGUGACGAAAAAUAACGAUACGGGACUCAUCCGAGGCCCCGUAAUCGGAAUGAGUACACUCUAAAUCCUUUAACGAGGAUCAAUUGGAGGGCAAGUCUGGUGCCAGCAGCCGCGGUAAUUCCAGCUCCAAUAGCGUAUAUUAAAGUUGUUGCGGUUAAAAAGCUCGUAGUCGAAUCUGUGUCCCGCGCCGCCGGUUCAUCGUUCGCGGUGUUUAACUGGCGUGUCCGCGGGACGUCCUGCCGGUGGGCUUAGCUCCUCGUUCUUUUCUGCUUCCGUGCGUUUCGUUCGUGCGCAUCGCGCGCUCGUUUCGUUCGUGCGCGAGGCGUUGGGGCGGUGGUGGCGGCCCAACUUGAAAUCCCGCCGCGGUGCUCUUUACUGAGUGUCGAGGCGGGCCGGCACGUUUACUUUGAACAAAUUAGAGUGCUUAAAGCAGGCUAAAAUUUCGCCUGAAUACUGUGUGCAUGGAAUAAUGGAAUAGGACCUCGGUUCUAUUUUGUUGGUUUUCGGAACCCCGAGGUAAUGAUUAAUAGGAACGGAUGGGGGCAUUCGUAUUGCGACGUUAGAGGUGAAAUUCUUGGAUCGUCGCAAGACGGACAGAAGCGAAAGCAUUUGCCAAAAACGCUUUCAUUGAUCAAGAACGAAAGUUAGAGGUUCGAAGGCGAUCAGAUACCGCCCUAGUUCUAACCAUAAACGAUGCCAGCUAGCGAUCCGCCGACGUUCCUCCGAUGACACGGCGGGCAGCUUCCGGGAAACCAAAGCUUUUGGGUUCCGGGGGAAGUAUGGUUGCAAAGCUGAAACUUAAAGGAAUUGACGGAAGGGCACCACCAGGAGUGGAGCCUGCGGCUUAAUUUGACUCAACACGGGAAACCUCACCAGGCCCGGACACCGGAAGGAUUGACAGAUUGACAGCUCUUUCUUGAUUCGGUGGGUGGUGGUGCAUGGCCGUUCUUAGUUGGUGGAGCGAUUUGUCUGGUUAAUUCCGAUAACGAACGAGACUCUACCCUGCUAAAUAGGCGUACUUUCCGACAUCUCGAAGGCCCGUCGGCCCCGCCGUCUUCCCCUCUUUUGGGGGGGGUCGUGCGGUCGCGGUCGUGCGCGGUUUUUACUGUCGGCGUACUAACAAAUCUUCUUAGAGGGACAGGUGGCUUCUAGCCGCACGAGAUUGAGCAAUAACAGGUCUGUGAUGCCCUUAGAUGUUCUGGGCCGCACGCGCGCUACACUGAAGGAAUCAGCGUGUCCUCCCUGACCGAGAGGUCCGGGAAACCCGUUGAACCUCCUUCGUGCUAGGGAUUGGGGCUUGCAAUUGUUCCCCAUGAACGAGGAAUUCCCAGUAAACGCGAGUCAUAAGCUCGCGUUGAUUACGUCCCUGCCCUUUGUACACACCGCCCGUCGCUACUACCGAUUGAAUGAUUUAGUGAGGUCUUCGGACCGGUACGCGGCAGCGUUUCGACGUCGCCGACGCUGCUGGGAAGAUGACCAAACUUGAUCAUUU
rnacentral:rRNA from 1 species